rnacentral:rRNA from 1 species
UCCUACGGGAGGCAGCAGUGAGGAAUAUUGGACAAUGGAGGCAACUCUGAUCCAGCCAUGCCGCGUGCAGGAAGACUGCCCUACGGGUUGUAAACUGCUUUUAUACAGGAAGAAACCUAUCUACGUGUAAGUAGCUGACGGUACUGUACGAAUAAGGAUCGGCUAACUCCGUGCCAGCAGCCGCGGUAAUACGGAGGAUCCAAGCGUUAUCCGGAAUCAUUGGGUUUAAAGGGUCCGCAGGCGGUUUAUUAAGUCAGAGGUGAAAGCCUACCGCUCAACGAUAGAACUGCCUUUGAUACUGAUAGGCUUGAGUUAUUGUGAAGUAGUUAGAAUGUGUAGUGUAGCGGUGAAAUGCAUAGAUAUUACACAGAAUACCGAUUGCGAAGGCAGAUUACUAACAAUAUACUGACGCUGAGGGACGAAAGCGUGGGUAGCGAACAGGAUUAGAUACCCUGGUAGUCCACGCCGUAAACGAUGGUCACUAGCUGUUCGACUAACAAUGGUUAGUUGAGUGGCUAAGCGAAAGUGAUAA